GACGAACGCUGGCGGCGUGCCUAAUACAUGCAAGUUGAGCGCUGAAGGUUGGUACUUGUGCCAACUGGAUGAGCAGCGAACGGGUGAGUAAUGCGUGGGGAAUCUGCCUUUGAGCGGGGGACAACAUUUGGAAACGAAUGCUAAUACCGCAUAAAAACUUUAAACACAAGUUUUAAGUUUGAAAGAUGCAAUUGCAUCACUCAAAGAUGAUCCCGCGUUGUAUUAGCUAGUUGGUGAGGUAAAGGCUCACCAAGGCGAUGAUACAUAGCCGACCUGAGAGGGUGAUCGGCCACAUUGGGACUGAGACACGGCCCAAACUCCUACGGGAGGCAGCAGUAGGGAAUCUUCGGCAAUGGACGAAAGUCUGACCGAGCAACGCCGCGUGAGUGAAGAAGGUUUUCGGAUCGUAAAACUCUGUUGGUAGAGAAGAACGUUGGUGAGAGUGGAAAGCUCAUCAAGUGACGGUAACUACCCAGAAAGGGACGGCUAACUACGUG
rnacentral:rRNA from 1 species